CCACCUGGUCGCGUACGCUGGGCGUACCUUAAGGUACGCUGCGCGUACGCUCAGCCUCCCCGCGUUUCAUUUAAGCAGUACGCCCAGCGUACAAGGGGGUUACGCCCCGCGUACGGCUUAUGGGCUGCUUACUCUUCGGCCCAAAAUAAAGGUCCACUCACAAUAUUAAUUCAGUUAUGGCCCAAACUAAACUGAAGAAUUAAAUAACUUUUAUACCUCGGAAACGAUCGUUACAAAUCUCUCCCACUUGAAUCAGACUUCGUCCUCGAAGUCUGCUGCCACUGAAUCUGAAAAUAACUUUGGGUAAUGCUCCUGCAUCUCCUCCUCUAAUUCCCACGUCCACUCUGAACCCUUCCGGUGUUGCCACUACACCUUCACUAGCUGAAUUACCUUGUUCCUCAAGGUCUUUGUCUUCCGGUCCAGAAUCGCGACCGGCCUCUCAACAUAAUUCAAGAUGCUAUCAACCUGAAUGUCCUCUAAGGGAACAACUGCUGACUCAUCCACCAAACACUUCCUCAACUGGGAAACAUGGAAAGUGUUGUGGAUCUGGCUAAGCUCUGCCAGAAGAUCCAACCGGUAAGCAACCCGACCUACCCAGGCCAGAACCCUAAAAGGACCAAUGAACCUGGGGCCCAGCUUGCCCCUCUUCCGAAAUCUGAUGACACCCUUCCUAGGUGAUACCUUCAGGAGGACCAUGUCGCCUUCCUGAAACUCCAAGUCUGAUCGCCUCCUGUCGGUGUAACUCUUCUGCCGACUCUGCUCAGUCUGCAGCCUACUGCGUACCUGCUGGAUCAACUCUGUCGUCUUGAGCACCACUUCGGUGCUCCCAAUGACACGCUGACUGACCUCGCCCCAACAAAUCGGGGUCCUACACUUCCUCCCAUAUAGCAUCUUGAAGGGAGGUCGGUUAAUACUCAAAUGGUAACUGUUGUUAUACGAAAAUUCAGCUAACGGAAGAUACAUAUCCCAACUGCCACCGAAAUCUAGGAAACAUGCCCGAAGCAUGUCCUCCAGGGUCUGAAUCGUCCUCUCACUCUGUCCGUCCGUCUGGGGGUGGAAAGCGGUGCUGAAAUGGAGACGAGUGCCCAUCUCGUCAUGAAACCGCUUCCAAAAUCUGGAAGUAAAACAGACAUCUCGGUCUGACACCACAGAAACAGGCACUCCAUGCCGUGCCACAACCUCUCGCACAUAAAUAUCGGCUAGUUUCUCCGCUGAUAUACUCUCCUGGAUCGGUAUAAAAUGAGCAUUGUUCGUCCACCGAUCCACAAUAACCCAAAUCGAAUCCACCCCACGUGCGGUCCUAGGGAGCUUAGUGAUGAAAUCCAUGGUGAUAUCCUCUCAUUUCCACACUGGAAUGUCUAACGACUGCAACUUUCCGUGGGGCCUCUGGUGCUCUGCCUUGACUUUCCUGCAGGUCAGGCACCUCUCCACAUACCAAGCAACAUCCCACUUCAUGCAGGGCCACCAAUAAUCGGGUCGAAGAUCCCUAUACAUCUUCGUCGCCCCUGGAUGGAUGGAAAAUCGAGACUUAUGAGCAUCGUCCAUCAACACCUGCCGUACUCCGCCCCAGUACGGUACCCAUACUCUCCCAUGAAGAGUCAACAAUCCUCGAUUAUUGUAUUCAAAAGAAGCUACUCGACCCACAAUCCUCUCACACUUCUAUCUCUCCUCCUUGAGGCCCUCGGCCUGCGCCUCUUUGAUUUGCUCCAACAAUGGAGUAAUCACUGUCAUCCUCAAACAAAUAUCUCUGAUCGGGGCCGCUGCCGCCUUACGGCUCAGGGCGUCGGCCACUACAUGGGCCUUUCCUGGGUGAUAUAAGAUCUCACAGUCGUAAUCCUUCAACUCAUCUAACCAUCGCCUCUGCCUCAUGUUCAGAUUCAGCUGAUCCAUGCGGUACCUCAAGCUCUUGUGAUCCGUGUAAAUGGUACAACGGACCCCGUAGAGGUAAUGUCUCCNCCCCACUGCCCCAACUCUAAAUCAUGCGUAUGAUAAUUAGCCUCAUGAGGCUUUAACUGUCUCGAGGCGUAAGCUAUCACACGGCCUCACUGCAUCAACACUGCUCCCAUACCUGUGAUCGAAGCAUCAUAAUAAACCACAAAAUCCUCUACUCCCUCUCGCAGGGUAAGAAUCGAUGCCUCGCACAAUCUCUGCCUGAGGGUCUCAAAUGUUGCUUGCUGCUCAGGCCCCCAGCGAAACACCACCGACUUCUUAGUCAGUCGGGUGAGCGGUACUGCUAUCUUGGAGAAAUCCUGAAUGAACCUCCUGUAGUACCCUGCCAGACCUAGGAAGCUCCGAAUCUUAGAUGGAGACCUCGGGACCUCCCACUUCAUCAUGGCCUCUAUCUUGGCCGGAUCUACCAAAAUACCCUUCUGGUUGACGAGGUGUCCAAGGAACUGCACCUCGUGCAACCAUAACUCGCACUUGGAGAACUUCGCGAAAAGUCUCUCUUUCCUCAAAAUCUCUAGCACCUCCCUCAGGUGCUCCUCGUGCUGCUCCUGAGUCUUGGAAUAAACCAAGAUGUCAUCAAUGAAUACUAUCACCGAUCGAUCCAACAACGGCCUACAUAUGCGGUUCAUGAGGUCCAUGAACGCGACUGGGGCGUUGGUGAGCCCAAACGGCAUCACCACGAACUCAUAAUAACCGUACCGGGUCCUGAAAGCAGUUUUUUGCACAUCCUCAUCCCUGAAUCUCAUUUGAUGAUACGCGGAGCGUAAAUCGAUCUUGGAAAACCAAGACGCUCCCUACAGCUGAUCAAACAAAUCAUCUAUCCUUGGGAGUGGGUAAUAGUUCUUCACCGUUACCUUAUUCAACUCCCGAUAAUCAAUACACAUACGGUGCGACCCGUCCUUUUUCUUCACAAACAAAAUCAGUGCUCCCCAGUGCGAAUUGCUCGGCCUGAUAAAACCCUUGUCUAACAGCUCUUGCAGCUGCGUAGACAACUCUCCUGCAUCUCUGGGGGAGCCAACCGAUACGGUGCCUUGGCUAUCGGAGCCGUACCAGGGAUUAGGUCAAUCCCGAACUCGACCUGCCUCUCGGGAGGUAUUCCAGGAAAAUCCUCUGGAAACACAUCCGGGUAGUCUCGCACUACCGGAACAUCAUCAACUGUUGUCUUGCCCUUCUCCCGGGCAUCUAAAACAUAGGCAACAUAACCGACACAACCCUGCUUAAAAUAGCGUCUUGCUCUCGCCGCUGAACAUAGAAAUGGUCCGCACUGUGGCCUCUCGCCCUGAAUCACUAAAUCUCCCCUACUGGGAGUACGAACCCUCACCAACUGCAGCUCAUAAUCUAUCACCACCCCAUUGGGGCUCAGCCAAUCCAUGCCUACUAUGACCUUAUUCCCUCGCAAGGAAAUAGGGACCAAGUCCACCGGAAACUGCUCAUUGAAUAACUGUAGGGAACACCCUCUGUGCACCCUUGCAACCCUAACGGUCCUAUCAAUUGCUAUCUCAACCUCAAGUGGACAAUCUAGCUCCCCUAGAGCUCUGCUAAACCUCUUGCUAAGUGCAAGAGAGACGAAUGAUCGGGUAGCCCCCGAAUCAAACAAUACGGUAGCUGAUAUGCCGUUCACUGAGAACGACCCUAUACAAAACAUAUAACCAUAAGAAACAAUCAAUUAUAAAUGCAUAGGUACGGAGAAAAAAAAUACAUACCCGUCACCACGUCAGGAGUCGCUCGCGCCUCCUCUGCUGUCAACUGAAAAGCCCUACUCUUUGCCACUGGAGUCUCAACUCGGCCCUGACGGCCAUCUGUAAUCCUCAAAGUAGCAGGGGCAGGUGCUAACACCUUCCCUGCAGCAGCUAAACUCGGACACUGGGACUUUUUAUGACUCCCUGCUUUGCACGCCCUAUCGUGCAAUCUCCCACACUUGCCACACCUAGCAUGGCUCUGCUGACUCCUAGCUCUGUGAUCUGAACCCUUGGGCUUUUUGCCCAAACUCCCUGAACCUGGAGCCGCCUCCGGCUUCCUCUUUCUCUCCAUCUCAAGGUCAAUAUCUCUCUCUCUCUCUCUCUCUCUCUCUCAAGCCCUAGCAAUCAUGUCAUCCAGCGUCUUACAGCUGGACCGGCUCACGAACUGGCGGAUAUCACUCCGCAACAUCUCAUGAUAACGGGCUUUCUUCAUUUGCUCAUCAGCUGUGUACUGAGGAACAAGAAGAGCCCUCUCCCUGAACUUGGCGGUAAUCUCCGCCACUGUCUCUGUAGUCUGGGUAAGAUCCUGAAACUCUCUGGCUAACUGCUGCACCUCAAUGACCAAUGCGAACUCAGCUCUGAACCUGGUAGUGAAAUCAAUCCAGGUCAUAGCAUCCAAAGCUGUGUCAUCCCCAAUGGCAUGACCAACCUCCUCUCACUAAUUCCGUGCCCUGUCCUUCAGAAGACAGGACGCCAAUCUGACCUUGUCCCCCUUGGGACAUCUGCUAGUGCGGAAAGCGUUGGCAACAUGUGCCAACCAUCUAGUACUUGCUAUGGGGUCUCGCGCCCCGUGAUAAUCUGGAGCUCUGCAUGCCCAUAACUCCCUAAAAGUAAGUGUGCGCGACCCCAUCAUGGCCGCCAUCUCAGCACGAAAGGUGCUCAACCUCUCAUCCAUCAACUCUAAGAUACCCUCCUUGAUCGAACCGAAGAUCACAGGAGUCUGCUCAAGUAUGGUGUGAGUAAUCUCUGAAGAGAGAAACUUCUUAGUCUGCUCAUCCAACUGCCCGUCCUCCGGGCCUGGUCCUAAUCCCCCUCCGGCACCUGAACUGCCGACUGCUGGUAUAGGGCGUAAUACCACCAUUCUGAAACAUAUAAAAAAAGCAUCAGGAACACUGAUAUAUCUCGAGGGAUCACUACUACCACAAGCUUCUUGGUCUCAUCUCGGCUUUCCUUGAUUCGAGUACGGAUCCUUUGCUUUCAGUAGUACGGGCCCAUACUACCUUCCACAUCUAUCCGUACUUUCCUCAAGUACUGCCUCGACUCCACCAAGUCACUCCUACUACUACUGAUCUCUGCUACUCUCAUCCUAGGCUUGCCCUAGGGAAAUCUCUGACUCAACCCAACCAAUCCUCAGCUGAUGUAGGCCUCCUUGUAAUGCCAAUUAACCUUUACCUGAAUACCAUUACAUGUGGCGAGGCUCAAAUAAUCCUUCGAGUAAAAGACCCGUCCUCACAACAGUUACACUCAAACAAGAGCUGUGCAGCAGGGACAAAUCCAACACUCUGAGAUUAUUUAACCCUGAUCCCAUGUGACGUGAUGUAUUCACCUAAUGGCUAACUCCUAUUAUUCAGAGUCCCACAAAGCACAAAGCAAGCAGCAUUCGGACACAGGAAACUACUCGAGCAAUUCUAUCCUCAUAACGAGAAACUGUACUAGCAUGCAAUUUGUAAGCUCAUACUAUCAGGCAUAACCUAAACAGGCUAUCCUACUGCUGUCUACUCAAUACUAGCAUGCAAUUCUCAUAAAGCUGAAUCACAUAUAACAGGCACAUAAGGCAUCCUCCUAGAUCCUUAGCCCUAUUCUAGCAUGCUGUUCUACUGAAACUGAUAACUCAUAACAUAAACUCGUAUGGGUAAUUUGGGAGUACUUACUUGAGCUCGGCUGAUCGCAUGCACCACACCCCUUUUCUCUUUUCAAAGUCCUUUUCUUUCUAAAAAUUUCUUUUCACUUUUCUAAAACUCUUUUCUUUUGAAAACAUUUUACCACUUCCUUAGUUUGAGUUCAGACACACCCGAAAGUGUGUCCGAAUCCCUCAAACCGAGACUCUAAUACCAACUUGUAACAUCCAAAAAUACGACCCAAAUUUUUUUGUUUUAAAUAACAAUAAAAUCAUAUUCCAAUCGUCACAUCAUAAAACCAUGUGUCAAUUAUCUCAACCCAUAAUAAAAUGUCAUGAACAUUUGUGCCAAAUCAAACUAUGAAUCAAAACAAACUCCCAAGAAAAGACUGAAGUUGUGGUGUGUGCGAUGUCAUCAUCCCGAGCUCUUCCCUUUGCUUGCGGAAGUACUUGAAACCAAAACUGGAACUGUAAGCACGAAGCUUAGUGAGCUCCCCAAAACUACCACAUACCAUACAAUAACAUAUAAAGCAUCUACUGGGCCUUGCCCAUUGCAUCGGACCGAAGUCCGGAAACUAACCAGGGCCUUGCCCUCUACAUCGGACCGAAGUCCGGAAACUAACCAGGGCCUUGCCCUCUGCAUCGGACCGAAGUUCGGAAACUAACCAAGGCCUUGCUCUCUGCAUCGGACCGAAGUCUAGAAACUACAUCGGACCGAAGUCCGGAACUGAAUGGGACCUUGUCCCCUGCAUCGGACCGAAGUCCGGAACUGACCGAACGUAACAUAGCAUAAACAUAUCAACUAGCAUGAAAACAUAUAUUGCAUACUACAUCCGAACAGAGUCCGGAACACAUAACACAAAACGUGCUUGAAUCACAAAGACAUCAAGCACUCUAACUACUGCAUCAGACCGAAUUCCAGAACUACUGCUAACUAAACGGGCCGGCAUUGUGGCCGUAGACCCGUUCCUACUAGAAGGAAACUCACCUCGUGAUGCUGACUGCUGAACUCCUGAAUGAGAAAUCCCUGACUACUGCUCCAGCUGCUUCCCAGCUAUAAUGGGAAAUCAAUACUAAAUCAGAAUAGGGAUUCCUCUAUGGGUAAAAUGACCAUUUUACCCUACUAUGGUGUGAGACACAACAUGGCCCAAAACCUCAAUUCCUUCUAAGUCCAUCUAUGGCCCUACUAUAGGCCCACUAAUGGCCCAAUUUGCUAUAUUGGGCCUAGGACCCUUUUAUUGGGUCUUACCCAUGCCCAAUACUAAAUCCUUGGUCCUUAGCAACUGAAUUCUGAUGGGCCAUAAAGGCCCAAGGACCCUAAGCCUGAAACCCAGCCCACACCGAGGCCCAACACUCAAAGCCCAAACUGGUAGCGUACACGGGGGUGUACACCAAGGUACGCUGAGCGUACUGGCUUCUGGCUUGUACGCGGCGCGUACUUCCUUGUACGCAAAGCGUACAACUCUGUUAAGCUAACAUCCCAUUAAGUGCUUAAUAAUUCGAUCCAGAAGCUACAAAUCCAGAUCCUAAGCUUGUUCCAUGACUUAAGCCAUAAAGUUGCUUACUUGAUGGCUUACAAGUCUCAUAAAGGCUCAAACUUCCACAAAUAACAUUCUACUUCCAUAAAACCAACUAGAUCUCAUGCAUGGUUCCAUAUAAGCCACAAAGAUCGAAACUUUACUAUUAUGGGGAUACUUGAGCCUCAAGGAUAGCAAUCCCAAGCUCCAAAAACGAAGUUGCUAGAUAAAGUUCCUUCCUUUGGACCUAAAAGGUCCAAACUUCCAAAAACUCCUAGAUCUAAACUUACAAGAGGAAAGUUGGAAGCUUUAUACCUCUUUUGAAUGCCAAAAGAAAGGAUGAUCCUGGAUCUAUGAGCUCAAGGUGUUCAAGUUCUUCUUCUUCCACUUCUCUUCUUCUCCUUCUUCUCAAAAAUAAGCUCAAAGAUCAAACACACACAAACAAGGAGCAAAGGGGGACGAACUAGGGUUUCUCUGGAGUGAAUGAUAAGUGAGGAGUCCAAAUGGGAGGCUAUAAUGGGGUUUAAAUACGCCUCAACCCCUAAAAUUAGGGUUUGCCACCUGGUCGCGUAUGCUGGGCGUACCUUAAGGUACGCUGCACAUACGCUCAGCCUCCCCGCGUUUCAUUUAAGCAGUACGCCCAACGUACAAGGGGGUUACGCCCCACGUACGGCUUAUGGGCUGCUUACUCUUCGGCCCAAAAUAAAGGUCCACUCACAAUAUUAAUUCAGUUAUGGCCCAAACUAAACUGAAGAGUUAAAUAACUUUUAUACCUCGGAAACGAUC
rnacentral:lncRNA from 1 species